UAAUACGAAGGGGGCUAGCGUUGUUCGGAAUCACUGGGCGUAAAGCGUAUGUAGGCGGAUUGUUAAGUCAGGGGUGAAAUCCCGAGGCUCAACCUCGGAACUGCCUUUGAUACUGGCUUUCUUGAGUUCGGGAGAGGUGAGUGGAACUCCUAGUGUAGAGGUGAAAUUCGUAGAUAUUAGGAAGAACACCAGUGGCGAAGGCGGCUCACUGGCCCGAUACUGACGCUGAUGUACGAAAGCGUGGGGAGCAAACAGGAUUAGAUACCCUGGUAGUCCACGCCGUAAACGAUGAGUGCUAGACGCUGGGGGCUUAGCUCUCGGUGUCGUCGCUAACGCAUUAAGCACUCCGCCUGGGGAGUACGGCCGCAAGGUUA
rnacentral:rRNA from 1 species